GGGAGAUGACGUUGGAGGAACGAGAAUUGAUCAUUCUUUUUCUAUACAUCAUGGGCGUCGAGAACUGCUAAUCCUAAGAGUCAUGGAAGUAAGAAAUAACAUGUCUUACAUGUGACUUCUAUAUAAUCAAAUAAGAGCCAGAAAUUAAACAGAAGAGAAGUGUGUUUGUUUAUCGAGAAGCGGUACGAAUACAAGUGGGAAUGAAAAGGCUAUGACGUAAGAAAAGGAAAGACCAGAGAGAACAAAGCAGUCUUGAAUGGAUCAAUGAAAAGAAAUGUCAGAGAAAAAAGUAUUAAGUACGAUACUGACAGAAAGUAACGAUUGAGUAAAGAGUAUAAAGUUGAGUUUGGAGAAGACCAGAGAAAGAGUAUGAUAUUUAGUAGACCAGAUAUAGAACAAAGGAUUAAGUCAAAUUCAUUUUUCUAAAUUCCAGAAAUGCAUCUCAAGGUAAUUGAAGCCACGGAAUUGGUAUUCAAAGGUACUAAUGGAGAGAGUAAUACGUUUUGUGUUUUUAUCGCGAAUCAGCUCCUAUUAGGAAAUAAAACACAGCUGUACAAAAUCCAUGGGAAAAAAAUUUUCAGUUAUGAGUUGCUUCUUCGAUGAUUUAUAAUUACUUCUCUUUAUGCGAUUAUUGUGUCUGGAUGUGUGUAAUACUCCAUACUCUAAGAUUAUAUACUACUAUAUCAACAACUUUGAGCACAUAGCAAGUAAUACUAAAUCGGACGAAGAUGCAAUCAGAUAUCAAAUUAAGGUAAUUCAGUUAAUUGGAGCAGAUUUACGAAAAUCUAUAGAUUGUUACAACAAGGUGUUCAUGAAGAAAGUUAUAUAAAAACUAUAUUAUUAUUAUCGGAAUUUAUUUUAUAUUCGUUUAUGUAAAAAUAUCAUUUCUCGGAAAAGUAAUUUCCCGUAGACAAGAACGUUGUACAUUAUGUAUGAAAAAAAGCAAAAAAUAAUUUACAUGUGCAUGUAUGCUGUGAAAGAUGUGUUUACUGAGGUUGAAACGCAUAGAAGUCGAUAGUAAUAAUGAUUCUGAGUUGACGCUUGUUCAAAUUCCAUCUCACAUUUCAACGAUAUGCUAUACUGGGCCAAAUUGUUUGUGCCGAAGGACAAUUGGAAUUUGAAAAAAUACGAAAUUAUAACGACUGGUAGUUUAGAGCUGGUGUAGCACACUUUGAAUGGAUAUUGCAGUAUACAAGGCUUUAAAGAACUUUUUCAGUUAGUUCAUAGUAGUGUAGAAGUAAGAAAUAUAUAUUUUAAAAGUUCACUUAUUCAAAUAUAUGUUUACAUAUUUUAACUAUUAUUUCAAAAAUUUUUUACAAAAAAAGAUCACGUUCAUUUUACUCUAAUCUGCACCGAAGACUUCAUGCACUCAUUAAAUUAUACAAUAUUGAUACAGAUGAGACAUGAAAUAUGCAGAUUUUUUAGAAGAUUGAAUAACAUCCAGAUACUCACUUUUCAUGUAGAUAAGCUUCAAUAAUUUAUAAGUAUGAUAAUUUUCUAAUAAUUCAGACGAUCUUUAAUUCAAACGGAAAGCAAGAAACAAAUAUUGAAGCAAUUGUAGAUUCGCUUAAACUUUUCAUAGCUCGUUAAGUGUAAUAAUAAUUUUUAUUUAAAAUGCCGAUAUGUUAAAUUUUAUACUGGAAAUCGUUGCCUUUAUUAAAUAUAAUUUUAAUUUAUAUUGUCUAUACUGAACAAUUUUAA